rnacentral:lncRNA from 1 species
CAAAUUAGUUUCUAAUGUGUCAAACUAAGGGUAAUCGAACUCAUUCAAAAUCACAGAUGACACUAUAAACACAUUCUAAUACUAAACAACCACAGUAACUUACCACCACAUUCUUUCUCCUCCCAGUUCAAAUACUAGUCCGGUAAUACCCAUUUCACCUUUGGAACACACUUGACUUUAUCAACCACAUAUUGGGGAAAUAAAGCUCCAAAGUCGUAGUAACACCUUGUCGAUACGGAAAAAUACUCUUCUUAGCCUCAUCUUCACUGCAAAACAAAAUAAUCUCAAGAUUUAAAACGGAAAAAUGUAUGAUGAUUAAAAAAAUUGGGCUUGGAGAGUACUUGCCGACAAUUUGAGCUAGUUUUUUGAUGUAGUUUUUCUCUAUCUUUUGGGCCACAUAUCGUUUUGAUAUAUCUUUCUAUCUCUUGCACUCACGUAUCGUUUAGAUGUAGUCUC